rnacentral:rRNA from 1 species
AGUGAACGCUGGCGGUAGGCCUAACACAUGCAAGUCGAACGGCAGCACAGUAAGAGCUUGCUCUUACGGGUGGCGAGUGGCGGACGGGUGAGGAAUACAUCGGAAUCUACUUUUUCGUGGGGGAUAACGUAGGGAAACUUACGCUAAUACCGCAUACGACCUACGGGUGAAAGCAGGGGAUCUUCGGACCUUGCGCGAUUGAAUGAGCCGAUGUCGGAUUAGCUAGUUGGCGGGGUAUAGGCCCACCAAGGCGACGAUCCGUAGCUGGUCUGAGAGGAUGAUCAGCCACACUGGAACUGAGACACGGUCCAGACUCCUACGGGAGGCAGCAGUGGGGAAUAUUGGACAAUGGGCGCAAGCCUGAUCCAGCCAUACCGCGUGGGUGAAGAAGGCCUUCGGGUUGUAAAGCCCUUUUGUUGGGAAAGAAAAGCAGCAGGUUAAUACCCCGCUGUCCUGACGGUACCCAAAGAAUAAGCACCGGCUAACUUCGUG